rnacentral:rRNA from 1 species
UACAGAGGUGGCAAGCGUUGUUCGGAAUUACUGGGCGUAAAGGGCGCGUAGGCGGCCUUCUAAGUCAGACGUGAAAUCCCCCGGCUUAACCUGGGAACUGCGUCUGAUACUGGAGGGCUUGAGUAUGGGAGAGGGAUGUAGAAUUCCAGGUGUAGCGGUGAAAUGCGUAGAUAUCUGGAGGAACACCUGUGGUGUAGACAGCUUACUGGACCAUCACUGACGCUGAGACACGAAAGCGUGGGUAGCAAACAGG